rnacentral:rRNA from 1 species
GACGAACGCUGGCGGCGCGCUUUAUACAUGCAAGUCGAACGUGAAGCUCGGAGCUUGCUCCGGGUGGAAAGUGGCGAACGGGUGAGUAUCACGUGAGAAACCUGCCCCGAAGACCGGGAUAACACCGGGAAACCGGUGCUAAUACCGGAUGCCCUCACCGGAUCGCAUGGUCUGGUGAGGAAAUGGAUUCCGCUUCGGGAUGGUCUCGCGGCCUAUCAGCUUGUUGGUGGGGUAAUGGCCCACCAAGGCUUCGACGGGUAGCUGGUCUGAGAGGAUGUCCAGCCACACUGGGACUGAGACACGGCCCAGACUCCUACGGGAGGCAGCAGUAGGGAAUCUUGCACAAUGGACGAAAGUCUGAUGCAGCGACGCCGCGUGUGGGAUGACUGCCCUCGGGUUGUAAACCACUUUCAGCAGGGACGAAAUUGACGGUACCUGCAGAAGAA